rnacentral:rRNA from 1 species
UACAGAGGUCUCAAGCGUUUGUUCGGAUUCAUUGGGCGUAAAGGGUGCGUAGGCGGCGCGGUAAGUCGGGUGUGAAAUUUCGAGGCUUAACUUCGAAACUGCAUUCGAUACUGCCGUGCUUGAGGACUGGAGAGGAGACUGGAAUUUACGGUGUAGCGGUGAAAUGCGUAGAUAUCGUAAGGAAGACCAGUGGCGAAGGCAGCUCGCUGGGACGUUACUGACGCUGGAGAACGCGAAAGCGUGGGGAGCAAACAGG